AGCCUCAUUCUCAAGGAGGUCGGGCACUGUGGGCCAUGGCGCCCAGAAAUUGUUAAAGAGGCUAAACUGAGACACAGGUUAUGCGUCUGCCACAGCAAAUGUAGGGCAGUGGUGACAAUGAGACCUGUAACAUUU
ensembl:snoRNA